rnacentral:rRNA from 1 species
AUUGAACGCUGGCGGCAGGCCUAACACAUGCAAGUCGAGCGGAGCGGCGGACGGGUGAGUAAUGCCUAGGAAUCUGCCUGGGAGUGGGGGAUAACGUCCGGAAACGGGCGCUAAUACCGAAUACUAUCAGAUGAGUCUAGUUCGGAUUAGCUAGUGGUUGGGGUAAAGGCCUACUAAGGCGACGAUCCGUAACUGGUCUGGAAGGAUGAUAAGUCACACUGGAACUGAGACACGGUCCGGAUUCCUACGGGGGGCAGCGGUGGGGAAUAUUGGAAAAUGGGCGAAAGCCUGAUCCAGCCAUGCCGGUUGUGUAAAGAAGGUCUUCGGAUUGUAAAGCACUUUAAGUUGGGAGGCGUUACCAACAGAAUAAGCACCGGCUAACUUCGUGCCAGCCGCCGCGGUAAUUC